UCAGAAUAUAAGCAGGGAUAAGCAGGAAAUUACUCUCUUCUGCUUCCUCAUUCUCUCUUCUCUGGAAGCCUCCAUGUGAUCCCAACAAGAGAGGAUGCUUGCCGACAGCAUCCUCCAUCAGAUAAGUCUAUAAAAUAUAUAGAGUAAUAAAUAUGGUUAAUACUUAUGACAGAGAUAGCAGAUAAAAAAAUCCUAGUCAUUGGCCAGCAACAUUGUAAAUAAUAUCAAUCUCUGUGUGUUAUUUCAGGUGCCCACGUGGCAGUGGGUCUCGGGUGGCUUACUGGAAAGAUUUAUUGGUACAUGAGUGUGCUACCCUUUUAAAAGUAAAGUUGAUUCACAUUUGUGAUUGACUCUUUUAACUCUUUAUUUAAAAAUUUUAAGUGUGUAGGUCUGGUGAGGAUAUCAUCUGGCUAAGACUUUUUACUCCUUCAUAAACUAUGAGCUAAAAUAUUUUUUCCUUAUGGAAUCAAAGUUUCACUCCAGGAUUAAAAUCGACAUCCUUGUAAUGUGCUGGCAAUGUGAGAUGGAGACUUAAGGGGAAGUAGCUUUGAAGCCUUCUCUCUAGAGUGGGAGCAAGAUCAUCAUAAAGGAGACAAGCAGAGGGAAAUCUGAAGACUCAAGAUCAGCCUCCUGCCACCAAACUUACCCAACAGGGGACACAGUCUCACUUCCUGGAGACAGAGAAGCUUCCCCUUCACCUAAAGAGUCAAAGCCUUUAUAGGGAAUUUUCUGGAGUCAGGCCCAAUGCCUCCUUUCUGGGACUGUGCCCAGGAACUCAUUCUUCUGUAGCUUACAGCCUGCAGACACAUCACUUCAGAGGGCAAUUGCUCUAGAAGUCUAUGAGAGCUGUAACACUUCUCAGCCAUGAACACAUGCUAUGUAAGGGACAGAUCUUAAUCAGUAUCCUGGCACUGUUGGGAGAGAGCUUUGAGCUGUAACAUGGUUUGGAGCUGUAAUGGC
rnacentral:lncRNA from 1 species